rnacentral:lncRNA from 1 species
GGGCGGAAGGGGUGCUGGUUAUUCUCUGGUGUCUCGGAGUGGCUUUUAAUGACGGACGGUGGGGCAGGCCCGCUGGCUUUCGUGUUCCCGGUGGGCUUCUGUGAUACUGGUGCCUUCCGGUGCCUCCUGGCAAAUUCUUUGGAUUAAGGAAAGCGGCCUUUUAACCCCCUAGGGUUCCCUUCUGGAGAAGAGUCACCGGGUUUGGUUCUGUUUCCCCUUUCUGCUCGACACUUCUGGGAAGCUUGGUUCUCAGAAACGCUUCGUUAAGGGACUCAGGCAGUACGGGAAGAACUUCUUCAGAAUUAGAAAGGAGCUGCUUCCCAAUAAGGAAACAGGGGAGCUGAUCACCUUCUAUUACUAUUGGAAGAAGACCCCCGAAGCAGCCAGCUCCCGAGCCCAUCGUAGGCACCGCAGGCAGGCCGUGUUCAGGAGGAUUAAGACUCGCACCGCGUCC